GGGGGCCCCGUGGCCAGCCCCCCACUCCCCAGCAGCACUCGCCCCCUCUCUCUGCUCAAGGACAGGGCUCCAGGAGUCGCUCCUCUCUCUGCCGCCCCUUGGAAAAUGGCAGAGGCUCGUCUCUGUGCGCUGUGGCUGCAUCUUCUCUUGAACCUGCUCCAGAAGGGUUUGCAGCCCAUCACUCCACGACCACAGCUUUGUUCGUGUUCUCCUGUGACCGCUGCAGCGCAAACCUGGGCGUCAACCUCAGCCCCAGACUCACUGCCUUACCAAGGCACUCAGUGCUCCCCCCCUCCUUCCUGGACGCCCCCUCCCCCCCGCAGGGUGGCUCCAAGCCCCGCUCUGACAGUGCCCCCUGGCUGGGUUUUCAGACUCCGUAACUGAAUUUUCCUGUGGCCUCUCUGGUGGCUUCACGUGUCCCUGUACAAAGGUAUUUCCAUCUCCUGCUUCCCUGCUCAGGAAAAAAAAAA